rnacentral:rRNA from 1 species
GGGAAUAUUGCACAAUGGGCGAAAGCCUGAUGCAGCAACGCCGCGUGAAGGAAGACGGUUUUCGGAUUGUAAACUUCUAUCAAUAGGGAAGAAAGAAAUGACGGUACCUGACUAAGAAGCCCCGGCUAACUACGUGCCAGCAGCCGCGGUAAUACGUAGGGGGCAAGCGUUAUCCGGAUUUACUGGGUGUAAAGGGAGCGUAGGCGGUGCAGCAAGUCAGAAGUGAAAGCCCGGGGCUCAACUCCGGGACUGCUUUUGAAACUGUUGAACUAGAUUGCAGGAGAGGUAAGUGGAAUUCCUAGUGUAGCGGUGAAAUGCGUAGAUAUUAGGAGGAACACCAGUGGCGAAGGCGGCUUACUGGACUGUAAAUGACGCUGAGGCUCGAAAGCGUGGGGAGCAAACAGG